rnacentral:lncRNA from 1 species
GUAAAUUUCUUUGGCAAGUUUAGUGCAUGAUGAUUUCCAAGUUUGGAGAGGAGAACCUUCUGGUAACUUUUUUAUUCGAAGUGCCUACAAACUAUUACAGGAGGCUACUCUAAAUCCUAUUAGUAUACAUACUGAAACUAAAGCUUGUUACAAAAAAUUAUAGAAUUUACAGAUUCCCCCGAAAGUUAAAAUUACAAUAUGGAGGAUAUCUUGGAAUUACAUCCCAACUUUUGUUAAUCUAAAGAUAAGAAGAGUAGUUGUUGAUGCUCGCUGUCCUCGGUGUAAUUAGGAUGAGGAGGAUAGUAAUCAUGUAUCUUGUCGAUUCCCUACAACGACAGAAGUAUGGCGGUUUUUAAAGUUUUCUUGGAUACUUUAUUCUAACAUCGACAGUGUAUGGAACUGGCUAACUUGGGUUUUCAGCCAAGGGACAAAUAAACAAUAUCGCCUUUUUUGCUGUGGGCUUUGGAUAAUUUGGACAAGCCGUAAUAAGUUAAUAUACGAAAAUAAACAAACAACAAGCAAGGAUAUCUUAACACAAAUCUCAAGAUACAUUUCAGAAUUAAGAAGAGUUGAGAAGAAGACACUUAUCUUAGAGGCAAGCAGGGGUCCUAAGUCUGACAAAAGGAGAACGAGUGUGGCGAUUUACUUUGAUGCGGCUUUUGAUUAACAAUUCUUAAGAUCGGCCUCGGGGCUAGUAGUUCGAAAUAUGGGGGGUAAAAUAUUAGCUUCCAAGUCAGUCAUCCAUUCCAAUAUUGCAACUCCAUUUGCGGCAAAGGCACAUGCAAGGUUACAAGCCGUAAAAUUAGAGAUCUCUAUGGGGUUUAAUGUUUUGCAAAUAAUAAGAGAUUCAAGAAUGGUGAUUACAAAAUGCCAAAGUUCAGAAUAUGACAGAUUGACUAUCGGAGCAAUCAUUAGAGAUAUUCAAAACACAAAAAUCCAUUUUCAAUAUCUCAAUUUUCAUUUUAUUCCCAGAUAAAAAACACAUUCGCUCAUUUUGUUACAGUGGAGGCACUAAAGAAGGGAGAAGGCCAUUACCUAGUUGGAGAUAUUCCCAGCUCUGCUUGUUGCGCAGUGGAGAGGAAGCGUCCACGACACCAGAUUGAAAGAGAAUAUACGAUUGUUUGAAUUUUAUAACAGAAGACUAAAAGAUUUAUAGAGGUAUACUACCAUUAAAGUUGUGUCGGUGAUUGGAAAUGAUAAUACCUUAUGGAGGCCAGCUGUUACUGUCGACUGAAAUUCUUAAAUUAGGAUUCCUUUUAUUUAUUUGAUUUUUUUAGUUUAUUUUGGGCCAACCGUUAGAGGCCUAGUCUGUUUUCAUGCAUUUUUUAGGUCUGCUUUAUUGGACUCAAACCGACUUUGCAGUCUUAGCUUAGGUCUUUAUUUCAAUAUAAUUCAGUCGAUUUCUUCAAAAAAAACACACACACAUUAUAUUGAAG